rnacentral:lncRNA from 1 species
AGAGGUGUCAGGAUGGGGUUUUGUGACGUCAAGGCUCACCCAGGGCCACCAUUGGCUGAGGAAGUGACUUGCUGACCUCAUAAAGCAUAAGGGUGUGGUCCCUUGGGGAGGGGUGCUCAGGGGCUCUGUAACAGACCACUAAGAGUCCUCAAAAUGGCUAAGGUGACAGGGAAGCCACAAGGCUCCAGAGCUGUUCCAGAACAGCCGACUCCAUAUACCCAGGAGGAAAAGAUAAAGACUUCCUAUCAACUGAGGUCCAAAAUCAGUGUCAAGGUGGCCAGGGCAACUGUGAGGGUGAAUAAGCACAUUCAACCAAAGCUGACCAAGGAACCUUAUCAAAAAACUCCCAUCUCAAAGAAACUGAAGAAAAUCGGAGGAUCAAAUCUCUGUAGCUACUGUUCCAAGGUGAAUGAAGAGCUGGAUCAGAAUGAACCAGAGGAGGUCCCAGGGAUCAUGGAGACUCCUGCCAUUCCAGCGAGACCAGUGGGCAGCCAGUGACUUCAGAGCACAGCUAGAGACCUCAGAAAUCUACAGAGGUCUCACCUCUGAGAAAUGGCCAACAGUAUAGUUGUUGAAUCUUAUACCAACAUCAUACAUUAAUAAUGAACUUUAAAUAAAAUCAACCUUGUG